CUAUGUAGUCAUGUUGCAAAAUGGUAGAGAACUUUUUUGUUCAGUUUGACUUAAUGUACAAGCGGCAGAGGGCGCCGUUGUAUUCAGACAUUAGUGCGCAAUGAUUGUUAUUUAUAAAUGAUAUACAAAAAUACUUUUCUUUAUCACCUAUAUAUAUGAUAAUACAGCAAUAUCUAAUCACAAUGCGUUCAACACGAAAAUGCGUAUACGUAUGUGCGCGUAUGUGUGUUCGACCUUGUCAUGUUUGCUGAUCGAAAGAUCUGAAAUUACUCUUUUUUUGUCAGUGUACACAGCAUUGAUAUCUCCGAUAUAUUGGUAUAUAUUGGUUAAUUUAGAAUAUCGUGUAAUACAUUAUACUUAUCUUUUAAUCUUAUGUUUAGAUCGUUCACGUGCGCGCGAGACAUUCUCACAGCUGUCAAACGUAAACUCUGAAUCAUGACGUGCGGGUACCUAAACAUAGUGCGCUCAGAAGUAUAUAAAUUGGAAGGUAUCAAUGACGCGGUAUGUACUUAGAUGGAUGCAUAGGAUGACUCGUUGAAUAUCGCUCAAGUCAAUGUCAAAGGUGCAAGGACUCUCCUCGAAGGAACGCGUCUCGGAUAUGUUAAUUUUGUGCGAAGUGUUAGGAAAAAACGAUAUAUGUUAUGAUGCCAUUUGCACUUUUUAGACGCACAUCGAUAGACAGAAUCAAUCAGUUACAAUCGCCGACUAGCCACAUCGAAUUGUUUCCGCGCUUAAUGGAUCUCACAGUAAGAAAUUAAGCACGCAAGUGAAAGGUGUUAAAGCAGCCUCGUAUGCAUGUGAGUAUGCGAAUCAAAGUCGUUGAAAAUUACAAAAGUUACGAUGCUACAUUUUUUGAACAUUUACUCCCGACGAAAUCGACGAAAGGAGAGAAAAAAGAGAACACACAGGCGGUUUGAGUUACUCGAAUCAGAUGUCGGGAAUUGGGACCCGCCGCUGAGACACGGGAAAACACGCUGAUUUCCACCGAUGGCGAUAAACGCGGCGACGACUGUCUUUUCGUGCUUUCGCCGGUGCAACCGUGCAACCGCCUAAUGACCUAAUAAAAUAUACAUAAUAAUCGAGCAGCUGACACUUGAGUCAGAGAAGAAUAAGCAAGGAAAUGUGAAAGCAGUUACGAAGAUACAGGGAAUCGGAGAUAAACGCAACAUCGCCGAGACGACGAGAUAAUAACUACAGGAGGCGACAAAUCGGAAGAUGGAUAUGACUAAAGGAUAAAACGGAUGAAUAACGCGGUAUAGAGGAGCACUGUCGCGAGCGUGGAUGUAGUUUUAUAAAUAAGACGCCAGGGAGGGGGGAGAGAGAGAGAAAGAACACGACGAAACACUUACUACUCCUAUACGCACGCGGAUUGCGGGUAUUGGGACACCACGUGUAAAAGUCGUGUCUUUGAGCCUGUUCUUUGUAGUUGAACUGGUGCAUACUUUGGGAACAUAAAGAGGAAUCCGUAUACAGCUGCGACUUGAUCUAAAAUAGAGAGAAAGAGAACUAGCGCAAGCUAGAGUGCAGCCAGUUGAUCUGCAAAGCACAGAGCAUUUGUUUCUCGACUCGAACAUUUCAUUCUAAUUCGACUGCCGUAACUCAGCUGCUUGACCCUCCCUAUUGAUUUCCUCUAAAUUCGGCAUAACACAGAGUCUGAGAGCCGGCGAGAGUAUCCUCGUUCUUCUUAUUACACAACGACGGUAAAUCAGAAGUACCAGAUCGGCGCCGACCCGCGUUUGUUCGCGAUCGGCUGUGUCGCUUAAUUGCACGAAAGAAAUCGCACGAGCCGAUCGAACGUCCAAAGGGGGCGUAUCGGGGACGUUUGUGCGACACGUCCUCGCUCUAUCGAGGACCAGCACGGCCAUUUCAGGAGAGUAACGAAGCGUGUCCUCAAAUAGCAAGAUACAACCGUGCGAGUUGUUACAGAAAAAAAUGAUUACGUUGCUCCGCAAUGUAUUCAGAGACUGACAAAGAGUCGUUAAAAUAUCUAAUCGUGACUUACGCUCAAAUGCAGAGAAAUAAGCACACGUAUCGGUACCUGAUCAUGUUGCUGUUUGAUAAAUUAAAUUGUUAGAUGCUCGUAAAAGUUCGUAAGGUCACAAGUAGAUGGCUGUAACAGCGACUUAAUAAUUGUUUCCCUUCAAGCUUCAGUGGCUUUUUAAUUUUUAAAGGUUAGCCAUGAAAAUUGAUGGUCGACAAUUCAUAGUUCCGAACAAAACGUUGCAUUUUGUCCGUUUCUACCAACUUUGGUUAACUUAACUGGCUGAUUAUUCCAAUGGAAUUGAUCAAUCGCAUUUCUCGUUAGUCAGAAUUGACAGAUGCGAUUGGUCAAUUCAUCGGAAUAACUAGCCGGUUAAGUUAAUCAAAGUUGGUAGAAAUAGAUAUUAAUGCAAUUGAGGAUGGAAGCAGAUAAAGUUCAUCUUCGCCAUUGCAUGCUUUACCACUUUAAUCGAGGUGAAACUGUCGCAACAACCAAGAGACUGAUUUGAGACCUAUGGAGAGAAUAUUGUGUUCGUUAUUGUCUGUGAAAAAUCGUUUGAAAGGUUAAGAACUGGUGAUUACAAUGUCAACGAUAAGUCACGCUUUGAUCGUCUAAACGAGAUAAAGAACAAUGAAUUGAAAGUAUUGCUCAACGAAAAAUCGUCACAAGCAUUAAAAGAGCUUGCGGGGCAGCUUGGAGUUGAUGAAUCAACAGUAUUCUGUCAUUUGAAAACAAUGGGAAAGAUGCCAAAAGAAGAUGAAAGACAAACGUUCCGCGUUGAAAAAAAUAGCCGCGAAUGGACGCAGAAUCAUCCUGCUUCACAACGCCAGGCAGUAUGUUGCCGUUGCGACUAAAGAGACGUUGUCCGAGUUGGAGAACUCCUUAGAAUUGAGAAGUCGCACCCAGCGUACUCUUCAGACAUCACCCCAUCUGAUUUUCAUCUAUUCAGAGCGAUACGGGCCAUCUGAUACACGGCUCCGAAAUGUUGAGGAAGUGCGAAAAUGGAUCGAUGAAUUGUUUCAAAAGAUGAGUCAUCUCAUCGGCGCAGGAUCAAACUAUUGCCCGAAAGAUGGCAAGAGGUUAUCGAUAGCAACGGCCAAUACUUUGAUUAUCAUACUUAAUAUUUAUCGUACUAUAAUACUUAUUAAUAUCAUAUGUCAUCUCAUUGUUAUUGAUCAAUAAAAAUGGC